UACGAGGGGGGCGAGCGUUGUUCGGAAUUAUUGGGCGUAAAGGGUGCGUAGGCGGUUUGGUAAGUCUGAUGUGAAAUCUAUGGGCUCAACUCAUAGUCUGCAUCGGAAACUGCCGGGCUUGAGUGUGGGAGAGGUGAGUGGAAUUCCUGGUGUAGUGGUGAAAUACGUAGAUAUCAGGAGGAAUACCGGAGGCGAAGGCGGCUAUCUGGCCCAACACUGACACUGAGACCCGAAAGCGUGGGGAUCAAACAGG
rnacentral:rRNA from 1 species